AGGCGGAGCUGAGAAGAAGAAGAAGAUGGCGGAGUGAGAAGUGGCUCCCGCUGCGGCCGCGGCUGCAGCUGCGGCUGCCGGGAACCCACGAUGGCCGGGGUUGGCCAGCCCUGGUCUGCAGUCCGCUAAUCUUGACAGCUCAGGUUCCUCACCCUAGGCAGAACAAUUUUCCUACAGUGUUUAUGUUGUCCUCAUCUUGGAAGAAAAAACCCAACCCAGAGUUCAGGAUUUAGUAGAUUCUUCAGAAGAAAAAAGACAUUCAUUUGAAUCAUUCUAUCCUUCACUGUUUUCUCAGGUGAUCCUGCUUUUAUUUAACUGCAGUCCUUGGUCCUGAUGUGUGGAUCUGUCUCCUCUCUACUCUAACUUCAUGGACCAGAAUGGAAAAGAUUUCUUCACUUCAUGUUCCACUUCUCAAAUCCAGCACAUUGAGCUGGUCAGGUGGUUUCUCCUAGGGUGCCAUCUGGCUGGCAUCAUGCCAGAUCUGCCAGGGGAAAAAAAGUAAUUGAUGUUGGUACUCAGCAGCUAUUUGCUUAGAUGAAAGACAGGAUUUUUUUUUUUCAAAUAGGAGCAUAAUAUUUAGAUUAGUGCCAGGUGCUUAUCUGGUGGCAUUUGUGAGUUCUUUUCCCUUUCUGAUUUAUGAGAGUACACAGUACGAAGUCCAGAUGUCUGCGGGGGCCACUUGUAUCCUGUUUGAACCAGUAUAAAAUUACACCUAUACAUAAUUACAGCAGGAAAUCUUGUAUUUCAAUAUGAAAAGUACAUUUCAGAAACUAAAAAUAAUGGAUCUGAAUUCUAAUUAAUUCCAUUACAUAGAUUUCUCAGUCCAGAACAAAGGGCCAACCCGGUAAUAUGGUAAGUAAAUCAGCUUAUGUAAAAUACAUUGUCCCUGGAUUUUUUUAUGUGUUUGAAGAAAACAUCAUGUCCUUUGAACAAAUAUUCUUCUGCAUGGGCCUGUCCACAUUUAUCAGAAGAAAGAAUUCUUCCAAGAAACAAAGCCUGGCUGUAGCUGCAUUGCCUCCUCCCCUGGUAACAUUUGGUUGCUUCAUACCAUUUUAAGAAGUUUUUCCAUUUUCACAAGAAGCAGACCCCAGGAAUGCAUUCCUGGGUCCAUUGGAAAACAGUUUUCAUUGAAUUUUGACUAAAAGAACAACAACUUUUAAUCUAAGCAGGAAUAGGCACUGUCUCAUGGAUAUGUACUGGCUUCUGUCACCUUUCUUCCUUGUGGAGUGUCAUGGAACAUUCUGAAGUUGGCUUUUCGUACUGCUGUGGCCAAGAAUGACCUAGAACAAGGGGUCUGCCACUGUAUGCUCAUAAUAUCAGAUCAAACCUGUAGUUGGCUAUGAGUAUAGCAGGAUGGUAAAAGAGUGGGAGUAGAGACAAAAGUGUUUUCCCAAAUAGAUUCAACCUGAGGGACAAAAAGCAAAAAUAUUUUAUGUAGCUCCAUCUGAUUGACAUUUUUGCAUGACAUUCUGUAUCUUCAAACCAUGCCGUUUCAUGGGAACAUUAUCCUUCAAGAGGCUGUGAGAAUGAUUUCCAUGGGUGAAACUGAAGCAUCUUAACAACAAGAUGGAUCUCAAAAUAAUGCCCAUCAACCUGGGUUUUUGAGGCAGGGUGAAUUUAGGUGUAGAAGAAAUUUAGGGACUACAUCUCCCCUCUUCCCUCCUUCCCUCCUCCCCCCCAAAGAAAAGCUCCACAAAAUAGUAGAUUCACAAAGGCAGUGAAUAUGUUUUCCUCUUAAAUUUAAAAGAAAAUAACCUGACAUUACCCUCGGCAGCUGAAAUUCUUCCUUGCUCCUGCACCUGAGAGAUGUACAGCAGAGUUUGGAAUGACUUGUUAAUAGUACAGGAGAACAUCCACCCUCCUUUAUUUGUUAUCUUACAUGUCCAGAGAAAUCAAUGUAAAACUUGUCGAAUAUUAAGGCCUUGCAUCUUUGUGUUUCUGAAAAUCUGCAGUUAGAGCCCUGGUAUAAUGCUGGAGUAAAGAGCCUGGAUUCAGGACUGCUCUGCCCAAGUGGAAUUUUGUUCAAAAGACAAGAAUUGCCAAAAUGGAAUAUUUUCCUCUGAUGAAUAGUAGGUCUUGGCCAAUGGGAAUUGAAAUCUGAAUCUAAAUGUCUUAGAGAAAAAAAGAUUUGAAUAAAGUAUGAUUUUAGAAGGACAGUAGUUAACAUUGGCUAGUAGCAAAGUACAGCAUUGUCAAAGUCUUGGUGUACUUGUAAGCUUUAAUAGCUUACACCUGCACUAACAUUUUUGGGAUACCCUGUAUAAGUAGUCAUGUCUUUUGAAAGUUCUAUGUUUGUAGUAGUUAGAAGUCUCUCAGUUCAGUCAGGCAGAUCUCCCAGUCAUUUGUUUUCUUUUUUCAUUUGUUACUACUUUGUAAAGAUAAAGACCAGCGUUGCGGGGAAAACUCUUUACUAAAAGGGUCCUCUUUAUUACAGGUGCCACCGGGAUGUUGAGAAAGAUUUUAAAUCUUGUUUUUCUGCCAUUCCCUUUAAUGUCUUAUUAUUGGUAGCCUUUCUGGCAAGAUCUGUUGGCAGGCAGCAGGGCCGUCCUAUUUCUCCUUACCUCUUCUGUCACAUUUGGAACAGAUCCACGCUGGCCUGUUGGUGCUUCAGGCAUCAGACCUACUUCUUUAGAUCCCUUAGAAUUCUCUGAAUUUAUAGCCAAUAAAGUAGCUGUUAGUGUUUCCCUUAAAUAUACUCCUGCCUUAUUUACAACUGUUACAAAAUCUUAUUACAGCUAAAAUUUGUGUGAUGAUCAGUGGUUUCAGCCUUAUAUUCCCUUAAGACUCUCAAUUUCUUUUCUGCCUGUCUUUCUGCAGUUUCCUUCUGGCUGUGGUUUUAGGCAGCACUAUCUAUGGUCUAUUGCUAUACCUUCUCCUCUUCCAGUCCUCCUUGUUGGUUGGACAUUUUCCUUUUUGAAAAAAUAAAAACAAAUAAGGGACAUGUGCAAUAAUUACAUAUAUAUACAUACACACACACAUAUAUUUUAAUACUUGUGGACAAAAUAAUGUUACAAGUUGUUUGAGAACAACAAAAUCACCAAUGUCUUCCAUUUUGAUAAUAUGUAUAGUUUCAUAAACAUUAGUGCUUUGUAGCAAAAUGUAGUGCCAUGUUAGGGGCCAGUGCAUGAGCCUAGUAGUAAUUUAAAAAUGAAAAAUGAUUAAUUCUUUAUAGUAGUAACCAGUAGUGUAACCAAAAAAUGGAAAAUAGAAAAAUUUCCUUUUUUUCUUAAAGUUCUGAGCCUGUAUCUUCUCCCUGGGGAAAAGUGACAGACUUAAAAGGGCUAGUCUAGAAAUAGAAUUAUUCUGGCUUGGAGGGCUUGGAGAAUGUGCUUGGAGAUGUUUUAAUUUCACGUAAUGUUGUGGAAUCCUAAACCUACUGUGAUUGUCCAAUUUGAACCACAAACUAAAUUAUAGGUAGUGAACCUGUCUUAUGCUUCUUGUGUGCAGUGAUACUGUUCUUCCUAUGUCUUGUAGCCUACUCCUGUUUCCUUUCUGUAUGUAGACAUUCUCUGCAUCAAGGAACCACAUACAUUUUCUCUAUCUUAAUUGGGUACUCGUACCAGCCUCGCAUGAGGUGCUACACUCAAGGGUAGUCUGUAGACUUGUACGUUUCCUGUCUGCAGAUCACCAUCUCUAGGUUGUACCAAGAAACCCUUGGAAAUGUUAGAGUCAAGGUAUUUGUUUUAGGUUGUCACCACUUCUCAGUAUGUUGUAUUUUUUUAGUUGUAGUUUUCUUGCUACUUCUCUUGCUUGAUUUGCAUUUUGAGAAUUGGGUUUGUAGCUAGAUAGAACCUUGGUUAGGUUGCCAUGUAGUGAGAAGUAAGAGAGCAUUUGCUUAUGUUUACAGUAUGCAAUUUAAGGGUAUACCUUUCAAACUUGUACAUGUCUCCUUUCCCCUGCCUUUGCAGAAGGAAACUGUUUUGCCACUCGUGGGAUAGUUCAUUUUUUCUCUAGUAAAGCAAUUCCUUUCUGUAAAUGGCUUGCUUGAGAAAUUGGACAAGCUGAUUUUUCUGAAGUGAUCUGAGGGUCCAAGUACUCAGAUAAUCCAGGUUUUGUAAAACAUGGACUCUACAAAUAGUAAAUAAUGUGAUAAUGUACAACACUGCAUGAAUAAACCGGCUUUGAGUAAAUAGGCCCUUUUUAGCAGUUCUCUUAGGGACUAGGUUCAGGUUCUCUUAGUCUAGCCUCUAGUAGUUGUACCUUUGAUUCAAAUAGUAUAAUGCUUAGGAGAAACAGUUUCUUUGAAAAAAAAAAUACCUCUGAAACAGGAAUGCAAAAUAGCACAGUAUGCAGGGGGAACGCUCCUGAUGCAAACAAAGCCAUAAAAUGAUUUAAUAAUUUUAAAAGGAUAAAACUAGUAGCAAUAACUGUUGUGCAUGUAAUAGUAACUAACUUGAAUUAGCAAACCUGUAUAGUAAAGUAAGUUACCACUCAAGUUUGUGGUGUGUGGUGCUCAGUCCUUGACAGAGCUGCAUGAAAGGAAAUAUGUUUUUAGGUUGAUGACAUGUAUAAAAGCUGCUCUUUUCUUUCUUUGAGGAGGGAAGAGAGUGAAUGAGAGAGAGAGAAUGUGUGUGUGUUUGUGUGUGUGUGUGUGUGUGUGUGUGUGUGUGUGUGUGUGUGUGUGUGUGUGUUGGAGAGAGAGAGAAAUAUAUUUUGAUAUUUGAGACUGAAAGCCCAUUUGUUUCUCCAGGUAACAGGAGGGAGCUGUUGAAGUAAACUCUUUCUGGGAGACAAAUUGGAAUUUCAUCAAUGCAUUCCAAGUAGAUUUUCUACUUGAGACUUUACUUUGAGGCUAGAUCCUCCAUAAGUUUUUUUUCCCCCUUUCUCCUUUUGUUUCUUAAAUUCAUUUUUUUUUAGGAUUAAGAAAAAAACCUUAAAUUUGGUGUUUGUAUUUUCUGUAUUUAUGGUUAAGAAAGCUCUUAUUAACACUUGUGAGAAAGGCUUUGUGUAUGUGAAAUUUUUUGGUUUUGACCAUAUUUUUAAUGGAAGCGUGGCCAGGGCCACAGCCUCUGACAGCUUCUAAUCUGACAGUCACCUAAUGUGGAAAACCAUUCCACCUCCUAGCACACUGUCCUGGAUUAGGAAUCCAGGACAGAGCAGUGGGGACCGAGGUAAUCUUUCUAUUGUCUCAUGCCAUCUGUCUGUGUGGAUAAUUCAUCCUGCCAUUUAGCACCUGGAAAAUAACUCCAUCUCUCUAUAAGCUAGUUAGAAAUUCCCUUGGUUCAUGAUGUUCAAUUAUAUGCCUAUAUGUGAACCUAGGAGAAAAAAUGGGGGAGAGCCAAGAAAGGCGUGCCUCUUGACUAGAUUUAAAGUAACGAAGCAUCACAUUGGAUUCCUCUUGCUCUCUUUUUAGUGUGUGCCACAGUGUUACCAGUUAGACAUAUUGGAAUAGCCAAGCAAUUUUCAGCUGUCUGGCUUGAUCCCAGGUGUACACUUAUGCUAUAUAAAUAAUUUUGUAGAACAGCCACAAUAAAUGUUGAUAUAAAUGCUAAAAUUGACCAGACACAUCCAGGGCAUGGAUGGUGUCCAGAUAAGCUCAUUACACCAAGGGUGUAGGUAUCACCCUGAUUGGUAAACUCUUAUUAAAUAGGAAGUGUGCGCUUAAAAUAUGCUAGGUACUAUGCAAAACAGGAUGAGGUCUUUGCCCUUAAGGGGUUUACAUUCUCUUGGUGCUGCAGGUAAAGGCAAAUAGCCUCUAGUUUGUUAAGAUGAUGUUUGGCUGUUAGAAUAACCUUAGCCCAAAGGAUCAUUUGUCACAGCAGUUUCUAGAAGCAGAGGGCUGCACCAAAUUUUAGGGCAUUGAAGAUUUAACUGGUUUACAUUGUACUAACUAGGCUAUUUAUAAAUCUUUCCAGGGUGUGUGGGGUGGGAGGGGAAGAAGUGAUGUAUAGGUAAUUUCCUUCGGUAGUAGUAAAGGGAACCACUUGACUCAUUAGGGUCCCCACAACCUACCACCUUUGUCUGUUCACAGUAUCAUACCCAUAACAAAGUUGGCCAGGAAAAUCCACAAUAAUUAAGGUUAUUUCCUUCUCUUAAUAAGUGGCUCUUAUUUCUGCUACCAGAUCAUUCCCACCCUUAAGGGAAUAGAUUUCACACUGGUACAGUGUGAAAUGAUCCUAACUUUUACCUUUUUAUUUGCUCAUUUUGUAUUUCAAUUUAGAAGUAUCAUAGGGAUAGACAUGUGGAGAACUUGAUUAAAACUGUCAUUUCUUCUUCCCAAAUGUUUUCUCCCUUUCAGUUGAAAUAUUUUAAUGAAAAUAAAUUGCAUGUACCCUAGCUAAGCCCCAUAAUACGUCUGAAUCAAAAGGUUUUGUUUUGCAUGUUUCUUUAACACGGGUCUGAUCGAGAGGCCUUAGGUAAGAAUGCAUGAUGAUCAUAUAAGCAACAGUGGCACAAAGCCCACAAUCCCAGUCCUGUAGAGCUAGUCCUCAUUAUGCAUGCUUCGCAAUGUCUAGUGUAUAAUUACUUUUAAAAACCCUGAUAUAUGCAUUUAUAUAUAAUGAAGCAAUAGUAACUAUUAAACUAAUAGCUUGAAUUUACUGCUUGAAACCUCAGUUCUUAUUUAUCUUAAAAAGAUGAUUUGCCUCCAUCAUUAAAGGGAGGUUAAAGAAUAAACAGGGACAACAGCAUCACACUCUCAGGCUGUUUUGAAGAGGGAGUAGCAGAACUCUCCUUUCCUGGUUGAUAUUAGUCCCCUAAGCAUGUUUUUUCAAAAUAAUAAGGCACAAACUAAGAAGCAUGGUGUGUCAGUGAAUGAUUUCUUAGUGGCCUCAACUGUAGCAAUCAGAAAGGUGCAGAGUUUCAGGAGUAAGAGUGGAAGUGAGGCCCAACGGUACUAUAGAAAGUAAGAACUGGGUCUAUUAAACAAGGCAAAAGUGGCCUGAGUGUCAGCCCAGUAAAACUAGUACUUUGAAGGUGAAUAAAAUCAAUAAGCACAGUGCACACAUUUCAGGUGUUCAGUAGCUUUUUAAUACAGUAUUUUUAGGUAGCGAUAGCCACUUAGGCAGCUGUACUGAAUUGUACUGGUGUUGAUCAGCAAUAAUAAUGGCUCCCUGCAGCAAAAGAGACUUCACUUUGCAGCAUUUGACCUGAAAAUAUUGUUAACACCUGUGAUUUUGUUUCUCUUUAGUUGUCAUAUUGAUGUAUUUUUGAAUUUAUUUGACUUGAAAUGGAUUUUUAGAGCCAGACAAAAUUAUUUACCCCUAAUGGUCUGAUUAGUCAGUCCAGUUAAACUCCAUAAAGAACUCUUGCCCUUCAAGGUGAAUUUAUAUAUCCUCAUUUCAUUAGAUGAAUUUGCCACUAACUUCCUUAUUAGGGAGAAAAAAAUCAGAUGCUAUUCAAUUCACUAUGAGAAUAAAGAUUCUUGUGGGGUUUUUGGAGUAACUCCUAGAAGUAUAUGUGAUUAUAGCAAAUGAAUCAUCUACUAUAAGCAAAAGAAGCAACAAUGAACUUGUAAUUCUUCCCACCAAGGUUUUCCCUCUUAAAUUAGUGUAACCUCAUUUUAUUUGCAGUAGGGCUUAUCUUGACAUACUUGGAAAAACUCCAUUUUCCAAGUUAAAGGAUGAAAGUAAAAAUGUUUCAAAAUUGAACUGCUCAGUUCAUACUUAGAAAAUUUAUUCCCAAAACACAUUGGGAAGAGAUAGCUUUACAGUUUUUUUCUUUUGGCCACUUAUUGAUAGAACAUAUGUGAAAUAAAGUUGGAAAAUUAAAUGUUUAUUGAUUUUAGCUUAAGAAUACAGUAACUAUCAACCUUUAUUAAUUGACCCCAUAAUUUAUCAAGAAACUCUGAAAUUUUCAGGAUUAUUCUUUAGAAGCAAAAUUUCAAACAGAAGGUCUUCCUUCUAAACAAGAUUCAUUUCCCCAGAAAACAAAUAUGUGUGCUGCGCCAUUGUUGAGAUGUUGCAUGGUUGGGGGUUUUUUCCAGCAGUGGGGAGAAGUAUCCAAAAGAAACUGAAGCAGUGCAUGGCAAUUUUCCAUGUUUAAGUAUCUGUACUCUUCUUGAAGCAGCUUUUUAAAUUGUUCAACUCUUCUAUUUGAAAUAAAACAACUUGGCAUUAGAUUAGAAAGACCCAUUACUAAAAGUGAGCUAAUUUCGCUAUACUUUGUAUAUUCGGUUGACUCUCUUUUAGUGUGGGAAGGUUGUUUACUUAACUGUAUGUACAUGCAACACUGUAAUCUCUACUCCAUCGCAGUUAUAUUUUACAAUAUUGUUAGAAUUUCUCAUUGUAUAUACCUGAAAUUUUGCAAAAGGCAGCUUGCUGUUAUAUCUAUGCAUCUUUGAGUGUUUGAAGAGAUGUUAUUUUGAUGGUGUAAAGAGGAACUGUUUUAAAAAACCCCAGUUGGAAACUCUGCAACUAUGUAUAAAACUUUUGGGGGUUGUUUUUGGUUUUUAGCAAUAAAGCAGCAUGGGCGAGAAUGCACUGAA